GGCAGGGCAAAGUACCUUUUUGUUUGGAAUUGAAAUUGCCAAAAGGGUUUAAUCACUUUUACUGUGGUAUGAGUUCAUGUCUUACCAAAAACAUGAGAAAUAGGUUCUCUUGAUUUGCAUGGUAGAUGCAUUUCUAAUGCCAUUGGGAGGCUAUGGUAACAGAAAUACCUUUAAUGUUCCAUUCUCUUUUAGGGUUCUACAAAAAGUGCACUCUAAUGUCGCAGGUCCUGGAGGAGGGAGUUCUCAUAGCAGUCCACCUGAUGGUUGAGAAUCGAAAGAGUGCCACCCAAAUGGAGAAGAAAUAAUAUGAAUUAUUGUUAUGGAAGAAGAAAUUAUUUUCUUGGGAAAAGAUUCUACUUUAUUCUGGAAUGUGCCCUUUUCAGAGUUAAAGAGCCCUUUUUCCCCUCAAAGCAUGAGACGGACAAGGACAAACUGGGUCUCCUUACAAGCUUAAAAACUGCCCUGCUCUAGGCAGAAACAAGAAACAUCAGAUACCACAGCAAAAAUGAAAAAAAAAUUAUUCAUAAAUUCCACAGAUUGAGAAAGACUUCAAGCUGAAAGCAGGUAAGCUUUAGCUUCAUAGGCUAUAAGUCCUGAGCGUUUCAGAAAAAAUAGCUUUUCUAGAAGUUUAGAUAAUUUUGGUGAAUUAUGAUGUUCUUGAACUAUUGUUGGGUCUAUAAUUUUUCAGGAGGCUGAAAAAUCACCAAGAGAAUGACUAAGAAAACUUUUCCUGCAUUGCCAUAUAGUUGUUAAAGUUCAAGUGGUAAACAAAUAAAGGAUGGAAAUGUCAUUCUGGUUUCUAAAUAUACUGUAAUUUCUUUGAGAUUCCUCUUAUCAGGAAACUUCCGCCCUUAGGAUUCUCUGACAUCUAAUUUGUUGAACUGUUUAUAAAACACAGAAAUGUGAAGAUGCACGAGAUGUUGUUUACAAAAUAUUCAUGGCCCAAACUAGAAAAAAAAAUCCACAUUGAACGCCUAACUGUUGAAUAUAGUCUGGCUGUGAUAUCUUCUUAGGGGGAGUUCUUGAUGUUUCUAUUCCUUGAAAAAAUUUGACAUGAGACUACUAUUGUCUUUGUGUGGUAGAUUCGGUUAUUGUUCGGGAAAUAAUUAUCCUUUUCCUGUCCAUCUCCAUGGGAAGAUUGUCUACUACCCUAUCCUAUAGAUGCUGGUCUUGGCCAUAUUACUUGCUUUGGCCAGUGGCAUGCUAGUGAAUGUGAUGUGAGCAGAGGCCUGAAAUGUGCUAGUGUAGUUGGGCUUAUUCUCUUGUGUUUGUUCCUCUGCCAUGAAAUACACUCUUUGGUCUAGAUAGCUCUCUGUCCCAAGGACCAUGCUCAUGCAAAACAGACUUGAACCCAAACUGCAGCUGAUGUGGUUUGGCUGUGUCCCCACCCAAACCUCAUCUUGAAUUGUACUUCCCAUAAUCCCCACAUGUCUCCGGGAGGGACCUGGUGAGAGGUAACUGAAUCAUGGGGGCAGUUACCUCCAUGCUGUUCUUGUGAUAGUGAGUUCUCAUGACUAU
rnacentral:lncRNA from 1 species